GGGUUAGACAGUACAGAGGCAGGUCAUUAAGGAGCAGGUAGGGGUUAGACAGUACAGAGGCAGGUCAUUAAGGAGCAGGUAGGGGUUAGACAGUACAGAGACAGGUCAUUAAGGAGCAGGUAGGGGUUAGACAGUACAGAGACAGGUCGUUAAGGAGCAGGUAGGGGUUAGACAGUACAGAGACAGGUCAUUAAGGAGCAGGUAGGGGUUAGACAGUACAGAGACAGGUCAUUAAGGAGCAGGUAGGGGUUAGACAGUACAGAGACAGGUCAUUAAGGAGCAGGUAGGGGUUAGACAGUACAGAGACAGGUCAUUAAGGAGCAGGUAGGGGUUAGACAGUACAGAGA
ensembl:lncRNA